rnacentral:rRNA from 1 species
AUACGUAGGGUGCGAGCGUUGUCCGGAAUUACUGGGCGUAAAGAGCUCGUAGGUGGUUUGUCGCGUCGUCUGUGAAAUUCCGGGGCUUAACUCCGGGCGUGCAGGCGAUACGGGCAUAACUUGAGUACUGUAGGGGAGACUGGAAUUCCUGGGGUAGCGGUGAAAUGCGCAGAUAUCAGGAGGAACACCGGUGGCGAAGGCGGGUCUCUGGGCAGUAACUGACGCUGAGGAGCGAAAGCAUGGGUAGCGAACAGGAUUAGAUACCCUGGUAGUCCAUGCCGUAAACGGUGGGCGCUAGGUGUAGGGGUCUUCCACGACUUCUGUGCCGUAGCUAACGCAUUAAGCGCCCCGCCUGGGGAGUACGUUCGCAAGAAUGAAACUUAAAUGAAUUGACGGGG